UACGAAGGGGGCUAGCGUUGCUCGGAAUCACUGGGCGUAAAGGGUGCGUAGGCGGGUAUUUAAGUCAGGGGUGAAAUCCUGGAGCUCAACUCCAGAACUGCCUUUGAUACUGAAGACCUUGAGUCCGGGAGAGGUGAGUGGAACUGCGAGUGUAGAGGUGAAAUUCGUAGAUAUUCGCAAGAACACCAGUGGCGAAGGCGGCUCACUGGCCCGGUACUGACGCUGAGGUGCGAAAGCGUGGGGAGCAAACAGG
rnacentral:rRNA from 1 species